rnacentral:lncRNA from 1 species
GCAGGCAUCGGGCCAAUCUCAGAGGGCGCGCACGCCGCAUCAGGACCCCGGAACCCGCCCCGUUGGGGAUAGGGACAGAUGGAGAAUCCAGCUCAGACCCAGGUAAGCUGCUUUGGAAGGCAGAGAACCGCCGGUACCUGCUUUAACGUUAGCGUCGCUGGGGGUAAGCGGGAAGCAGCCAUGUCCACCAGAGGUCCGCCGGAGCCUCAGCGCGCAGGAGCGGAAGUGGGGUUCGACCAAGGGGUGUGGCGAGCCCGGUUUCCUAGGAGACGGCCCGCGGGUUGCUCUCGGACUGAGAGCGCGAGGCUUCGGGACUGAGCCCUAGCUGCUGCGCUGGCCGAAGUUUUCUCGUCGGUAAAAUAGGAUAACAGUGCACCAUAGGGUCGUUUUGAUAAAGAAGAAAGGUAGGGCACUUAACACAGUUCCUGGUAAAGAGAGUUCAAAUGAAAGUGAAGGAGGCCGGGCGCGGUGGCUCUCACCUGCAGUCCCAAGCACUCUGGGAGGCCUGUAAGGUGCCUGUAAUCCCAGCUCCUCGGGAUGCUGAGGCAGGAGAAUCGCUUGAACCCGAGAAGUGAAGGUUGCAGUGAUCCGAGAUCGCACCACUGCACUC